GUAAGAUCCUCCCGUGAGCCAGCUCCUGAGAACUACGUGGAGAAAGCCCGUCCCGGGAACCUCCUUGAGCAGAGAGUCUUCAAGAGACUGUAAACCUCUCUCCGUCCUCUCCCUAGGGUGCCUGCUGACCAUCAUCCUGCUGAUGCGAGCACUGGACCCCCUCCUCUAUGAGAAGGAAACACUGCAGUACUUCAGUACCCUCAAAGCAAGUUGGACCUGGGGGAGGACAGGCCAGGGGAGGCCCAGUGGGCCAUUAGAAGGCAGGUUGGACUGGAGAGGUGGCUCAGUGGUUAAGAGCACUGACUGCUCUUCCAGAGGUCCUGAGUUCAAUUCCCAGCAACCACAUGGUGGCUCGCAACCAUCUGUAAUGAGAUCUGAUGCCCACUCUGGUGUGUCUGAAGACAGCUACAGUGUACUUACAUAUAAAUAAAUAAAUCUUUAGAAGGCGUAACUGCCUGCUUCUUCCCCACCAGGCUGUGGACCCAAUGAGAGCAGCUUACUUGGAUGACCUGCGCAGCAAGUUCUUGCUGGAGAACAGUGUUCUCAAGAUGGAGUACGCUGAUGUACGCGUGCUGCACCUGGCUCACAAGGUACGGACUCAGCGUGGGCUGCUUCCCCUGGCCCCUUCCUCGCUGCUGUCUCCCCACCAGGGUGACUCCACCAUCUUUCUUUUAGCCUGCUCCUUCAUUAGGCCUUGCUUCCUGUCAGUCAGUUC
rnacentral:lncRNA from 1 species